rnacentral:rRNA from 1 species
UACGUAGGGGGCGAGCGUUAUCCGGAAUUACUGGGCGUAAAGCGCACGCAGGCGGUUCGCCAAGUUUGGAGUGACAAUUGUCGGCUCAACCGACAAAGGACUUCAAAAACUGGUGAACUUGAGGACGAGAGAGGAACAUGGAACUCCAGGUGUAGUAGUGAAAUGCGUAGAUAUCUGGAAGAACACCAAUGGCGAAGGCAAUGUUCUGGCUCGUUUCUGACGCUCAGGUGCGAAAGCCAGGGGAGCGAACGGG